rnacentral:rRNA from 1 species
GGGGGGGGGGGGGGGGGGGGGGGGCGGGGGGGGGGCGGGCGGGGGCGCGGGGGCUGGGGCCUGGGGGCGGGUGGCGGGCGGGGGAGUAGUACAUCGGACCAUGUCCUGUAGGGGGGGGUAGCCCGGCGCAAGCCGGAUUAAUACCGCAUACGAUCUACGGAUGAAAGCGGGGGACCUUCGGGCCUCGCGCUAUAGGGUUGGCCGAUGGCGGAUUAGCUAGUUGGUGGGGUAAAGGCCUACCAAGGCGACGAGCAGUAGCUGGUCGGAGAGGACGACCAGCCACACUGGGACUGAGACACGGCCCAGACUCCUACGGGAGGCAGCAGUGGGGAAUUUUGGACAAUGGGCGAAAGCCUGAUCCAGCAAUGCCGCGUGUGUGAAGAAGGCCUUCGGGUUGUAAAGCACUUUUGUCCGGAAAGAAAUCCUUGGCUCUAAUACAGUCGGGGGAUGACGGUACCGGAAGAAUAAGCACCGGCUAACUACGUG